rnacentral:lncRNA from 1 species
GAACUUUCCAUCAAGAGAUGAUAAUUACAUUACUUUAUUAGUUGCAUAAUGAUAAUAUGCUGAACAAUCAAUCAGAUAUUGAUCAUCAGCUUCACAUAGUUUCUGUGCCAUCUUCCCUGGCAACAAGUUCUUUCAAACGAUAUAGCAGCAAAUGGAAGUCAUCGUCGCUCUUAAGAAGGCUGAGACGUACAUAGCGAUCUUCAGAAUUGAACAAGCUACCCGAACGACCUAUGAUGUUUGCUGCACCUAGGACAUCAUUACAAUUUGUGUCUUCUUCCCUCUCACAUUUGAACCAGACAUAUGCUGUCAUCAGUAUAAAACUGUCAGCUUUGAAAGUUUUCCUAUCUAGAGCCACAUACACGUCUAUUUGCCUUUAGACGAAAUCAUAUCAGACCAACUUCCUUUAAAAGCUUUCUAACUAUUCGAAUCACUUUCAUAAAAUUAGCCAAAUAUGUCCAAAAGCAGCUUUUGAGUCUCAAAAGCUCCUUUUGGAUUUUCAAAAGCCAUGCUGAAUGUGCCCUUAAUCUAUUAAGAUCACAUUGAAGGGAUUUAUAUAACAAAAUUUCUAUUUAAAAUUAUAAAUUUUGACGAACCUAAAUUCUAACUUUCAUGUGCAGGAAUGAAUGUGUCAAGUGAAGAUCACCUGGAGAUGGACCCCUGAUUUUCUCAAAGAAGUUGCAGUAUUGAGGUGGAAUUUCUUGGAUAGUAAAACGCUUCGAAAAUGAUACAGUCUGGCUAAUCUUUUCCCACCGGUCCCUCAUUUUCUCAUAUGCAAAGUGAAAUAUUUCGCUGCCAUCACCUUCAAGAACUACUUUGAGAAGUUGGAGAGCUCUCAACUGAGUAUCCCUUGAGACGCCCAUUUCUGCCAGUUGAAAAUACUCGCACAUAUUAAGGUAAACAUCCUUAUCCUUCACUAUAGCCCAACUGCAUUAAGAAAUACUUGAAUCUUCUGUCAAAUGUAGCUAGAAUAUUAGUAGUCCGCUGUCCCACACUAAAUUUGAAAUCCAAGAUUUUGCAAUAGAUUUUUGAAGAUUUUACACGAGAUUUUCAAAAAUAUUCCUAGUAAUUUUCUAUUUGCCUCCACAAUUAAAAUUUUGUGAAAUUUGUCCCCCACAACUCUACCCUCCUGGUUCCGCCUGUGCGGUACAGGUGGAAAAAUCGACCCAAUUAUUGAAAUAUUUCGGCUGUUUAAGAUUUUCGAGAAUAUAAGUAUAGUGAAGAGCUGGAAAAGUAAGCGAUUACCCGAAUCUACUUCCAGCAUGGCCAGUGAGCUUGGAAAUUGUGAAAAUCAUGAUAUCUUCAUCUGCUGGUGCAGGAAUUGCUGUAAAAUGCGGCCAGUAAUAGGCACGAUCAUAAAUGGCGUUCGCUGAUGGUAGAACCGCCUUUCUUAAAUGACCAUCUGGAUUAUUUGGAGAAGUUACAAAUUCAAUCACAUUUUCACCAGAAUCUGAAGUAUUUUUCAAUACCAAUGCAUCUCCUUGAAACUCAAAGUGAACAGUUUCGAAGAAGUCCGUCUGCGUUUUAUAUACCUGUGGAUCAUGGAUUCCAAGUUUUUCAAUACUUGCAACAAUUUUUCCUAUUGAAAGUGAAGAUUGUAAGUAUACGAACCGGAUAAUAAGGCGAUGCUGCAACGACUCUUGCAGGCGACGAAGAUUUGAGGGAAAGAGCAAAAACUGCUGCUGAGAGGAGUUGAGUGGAGCCAACACCAAAAACAAUGUAUUUUCCUUUUGUAAUUGCAUUUCUGGCAAUGGAAUGGACUUUGAGAAUGUGGUUUACAAGCACUUGUGAUAUUGAAGUAUGAUCUGCAAAUACAUAGCUCAUUCUGUGCCAUCCUGCAACUAGGACUGCACUGCUUUCUGCAUGUUGCAUCCAAAAGGGCUCCAAAAAUAAUGGAUCCCCACUGCAUUAGAUAAAUUUAUUGUCAAUCUUGGUUGGUUGGUAUGCUUGACUUGACAUAAGUAUACUUUUUCUUUUUCUAACACUCUCCAAUGUCGUACAGUUCACUUGUCGAGCAAGCAACUAUAUUAGAAUUAGAUAUAUAAUCACAUUUUUUAUUGGAUUAUAGCCUACGUUCUCUUGCAGUAUUUUGUUCUUCUAGUAACAGUAUUUUGUUCUUCUGGUUAUCUACUAUGUUGAUUAAUUAAAUCAUGAAAGUCACAUCAGAAGAGAUCCCAUUAUGUUGUCCACGGGGAGAGUCACUAAUUGGAUUAAUCAAUUGUUUCAGCAUCAAUAUUGUUGCGUAUUGUCAAACCUGUCCUAUCCAUCUGGGCCAAUGGCCCACUCAUCCUGAUCCACGUGGCAUUCCUGCCGAAGUGGCACACAUUGUCGAGGUGGGUUAUAUCUAAAGUGCUUCAAGCCGAGGUCCAUCCGUCGAGGCUCCACGAUCCGACGUACUCUGCCGAAGUCCAACUACCGAGCCCCAUGACCCAAAGCAUGGAACUUGUUGAAUUUAGCUGAGGUCCUCAGGUGGAAGUAUUUGUCAAAUGGUCGAAACCCCGAAGCUGAUACACGAGUCUCUUAACCACAAGGAGCUUCCUUCACAGUCACUCCUUCCAAGAGAUCGUCUGCUCAGAGAUAUUAUUCGAAUGAUUGAUGAAACGUUUGUCACAAGCAUAAAGGUCAAGUUUUGUCACUAGUAUGGAGGACUUGCGCAAGCAAUAAAUGCGCCGUAAGCUAGCAAGUCAAGCCCCAUACCUAAGAAAAGACGUUUGAACUAAAGAGAUGACGCCACGUGCCACUUCAUCCAAGGGCUCCCAUUUCAUGUGUGUCACUAUAAAUACUUCCAUUGUGUAAUGUCAAAGGCUAAUGCAAGAAUCAAUACUAAAGACUAUAUUUACUCAACUCUCUCUCAGUUACUUGCAAUACACAAAUCGAGUUUAUACACUUUUACAUAUACAUUUACGAGCACCGAUUGGUAAUUAUUGUACAAUCGGAUUACGAACUACCCGCCGGAUUCCGAACGUCACCGUCCCGCGUCGUUGGGCUACUCCCACGCCCCUUUAAACCGCUCGUUUUAGACCAUCCACGUGUCUUAGCGUGUUGGACAUGAGGGAGUUCAUGGCCCAAAUGCAAGGCCAGGGAGGCUUCCCCAUUCCUCCAUAUGCCACCCACGGGCACUAUCAACAAGAGGAAGAGGUCCAGAGUCAUAGGGCUGCCUCGCCAGACUAUGGCCGGGGUGAAAGCCCAUUCAAGAGGGAAGUGGGAGUCGACAUUUCCUCCAACUAUGUAUCUGGCCGACCCACCGAGGUCUAAAUGAGCCAUGAUAACUUUCCACCUCCAUAUGAGCAAGACCCAAGACAUAGGAGAGCAGGAAGUGUUUUUGACAGAAUCAGCCCUGCCGAACCGAGACCCAGUCAACAGCAGGCACAGCAGCCUCGGACGAGGUCACAGCCUCCAUCUCCGAUGCCCCAGCAACCGGAGAGAAGACAUGAAAAUGCCCCCCGUGCUAUCCCGCCUAGAAGUAGGCCGCAAAGGAGGGAGGAAGAGGCCAUGAACCGGUCCGGACCCUCUCACCAACAACCGAGGUACGAGCUCGAAGACUACGAUUCUGAUGAGCAGCAGAGGUCCUGUGACUUGGACGAUGAUGAUGAGAACCUACCAUUCUCAAGAGAACUAAGAAAUGCCCAGGUCCUGAGCCACUAUGUCAUGCCAAAAAUACCAAAGUAUGAUGGGAGAGGUGACCCAGAAAAGCACCUCAACGCUUACAAAACUCACAUGAGCCUGAGGGGCGCCACCCCAGCCGUGAAGUGCAGAGCAUUCCAUUUAACCCUCAGUGGAGCGACUAAAAUCUGGUAUAGUAGGCUACCACCUGGGAGCAUCCGAAGCUGGCCCGAGUUCAAGACUACCUUCUUGAAGAGGUUCGCAGUGAGCAAGGAAGGAGAGGUCCCUAUCCAGCGUCUCCAAGACAUGAGACAGGCACAUGGCGAGUCCCUGAAAAGCUUCCUAUCCCGCUUCACCGACGAGAUGACCUACUGCGUACAAGUCACCGACAGAGAAGCACUAUCUGCAUUGAGAAGAGGCUUGAACAUAAACACCCUAUUCUGGAGGGAUGUGCAGAAUCAAGACCCCACCACCUAUGACGCCCUACUACAGAUGAUGAGAAGGGAGAUAAUCAAUGAAGAAUUGAUUGAGCAUAGGAACAGAGCAAGCAGAGGCCUCCCACCUCCUCAAAGACAGCGAGGUAGGGGACCGACCUCCCACCUCAUGGACUACCAGAUGAAUCGAGCCGGAAAUGAGAACUCCGGCUAAGCCCUGGCCACCACAACUCUGAACGCGGUUCCAACCUUGGCAUAUGAGGAUGUCAACCCAACUGCUGUUCCACAUCAAAUGGAGGCCCAGCAGGGACCCCGUAGAGGAAGAGGCCGAGGCCGAGGUUUUGCACCUAGAAAUAGGUCCAAUUCGAACCUCACUGGAUACUAUUUGCACCAUAGGUCCUACGGGAUCGACACUUCAGAUUGCAGAGACUAUGCACACCGCUCCCGGCAGGAACCCGCCAGAGAAAGACAUAACUCGCCCCAGGCGAACAGGCCCCCGCCCAGCCAAGACAACCGACAUGGGCGUGAGGCGGCCGCUCCUCAUCAAAGGGAUGUAUCCCCAAGGCGAAGAGAGCAAAACACAGAGAGGCCCAGGGAAGGGCGUAGACGCCAAAGAAAUAGGCAAGCUCAAGAUGAGGUCUCUAUCCACGAGAUAGAUACCAUAUUUGGAGGCCAUUAUGUUGGCGGUGAAACACGGAACGCCAAAAGAAAUUAUGCUAGGGAGGCUAAGCACCCCCUAUGACGAGUUACAUUGUGGACGGUAGCUCUCGAAGAAACCAAGUACCACCAAUUGUCUUCACCCAGGAAGACGUCGAGGGAGUUCAUUACCCCCACUACGAUGCGCUGGUGGUGAGAGCUGUCAUAGCCCGAAAUGGGCUCAAACGAAUGCUAGUCGACAACGGCAGCUCCGUCAACAUCCUAUUCGGGUCCGCCUUUGACAAAAUGAUAUUGGACCAUCAGUUGACGCCCAUCACCACUCCGUUGUACGGAUUUAUCGGAGAUAGCAUCACUCCGAGAGGAAAGAUAACACUGGCAGUGGAGAUGGGAGAAUCUCCUCAAACUACGAUGAACUUCAUGGAAUUCCUCGUAGUUGACAGCCGGUAGGCUUACCACGGAGUCUUGGGCAGACCGGCCCUAAAGGAAUUAGGAGCAGUCACCUCCAUCCACCACCUAUGCAUGAAAUUCCCAACAGAAAAUGGGGUAACAAUGGUGAGAGGCGACCAGAGAGGUUCAAGAGAGUGCUAUCUGAGCUCCAUUAAGAAGGUAGAGCCCCGGGAUGUCCACGUGAUCAUGGCUGAUGUGGUCAUGGCGGAUGUCCUAGGUGACGCUCCCACUAACUAGGAAGAUGUUGAAAUGAUUGACGCACCGCUUAUUCAGGAGGUGUUGAUCGUUGAUGAGAUCGACCCCUGCAUAAUGGAACAUGAGCCUCAAGCAUCCCCUGUAGAGGAACUUGAGAGCUUCUCAGCCGACCCCCAAGAUCCGUCCAAGGUAUUGAAAGUAGGCAGAGGCCUAUUCAACAUUUUGAGAGAAAAGAUUAAGGACUUCUUAGGCAAGAACUUUGACAUCUUUGUUUGGAGGUAUGAGGACAUGGUGGGCAUAGACCCCAAGAUCAGCGGCCACCACUUGAAAAUUGAUCCUAAUGUUGCCACGCAUAGACAAAAAAGGAGAGCCCUCAACCCUGAGAGGUAUGAGGCCCUAAAGGAAGAGGUUCAGAAGCUCAUCUAAAAUGACUUCAUCAGGGAGGCCACCUAUCCGAGGUGGGUCUCCAACCCGGUCUUGGUUAAGAAACACAAUGGCAAAUGGAGGGUAUGCAUCGACUUUACCAACCUUAUUAGAGCUUGCCCGAAAGACAGCUUUCCGCUUCCAAGGAUUGACCAAUUGGUGGACUCUACGGCUGGGCAUGAGUUGUUGAGCUUCAUGGAUGCAUACUCCGGCUACAACCAGAUCCCCAUGCACCCGGCCGAUGAAGAGCACACCUCUUUCAUCACGGACCGAGGCCUCUAUUGCUAUAGAAUGAUGCCUUUCGGGUUGAAAAACGCCGGAGCAACCUAGCAAAGACUCGUGAACAAAAUGUUUACCGACCUCAUUGGCAAGACAAUGGAGGUCUACGUGGAUGACAUGCUGGUGAAGAGUUUAGAAGCAAAAAAUCACGUAGCGCACCUCAACAACACCUUCCCAAUCCUAAGAAGGUACAGGAUGAGGCUCAACCCCUUGAAAUGUGCCUUUGGGGUGGCUUCCGGCAAGUUCUUGGGGUACAUGGUCAACCAGCGAGGAAUUAAAGCAAAUCCCGAGAAGAUUGAGGCUCUGUGCCAGAUGAGGUCCCCUCAAAAGCCAAAGGAGGUGCAAAGCUUAACUGGAUGAGUGGCAGCACUUAGUUGCUUCGUCUCCAAAGCAACUGAAAAAGUGCCUCCCAUUUUUCAAAGUGCUCAAGGCUGGGAAGAAAUUCUAAUGGACUGAGGAAUGUGAAGAGGCCUUCCAAGGACUGAAAAGGCAUUUGGGGCAGGCCCCCCUCCUCUCCAAGCCGAAGCCCGAUGACAUCUUGCAACUAUAUCUUGUCGUCUCCAAUGACGCCAUCAGUUCGGUACUGAUUCGAGAAGAAGGGUCCACCCAACUUCCUGUCUACCAUACGAGUAAAGCGCUCCUAUCACCGGAGACCCAAUACCCCGAUAUGGAGAAGCUUGCUUUGGCCUUAAUCACGGCCUCUAAGAAGUUGAGACCCUACUUCCAAGCUCAUACCAUCCAUGUACUUACAAAUUUUCCCCUAAGGUAAGUUCUCCAAAAGCCCGAUGCCUCGGGAAGAUUGUUGAAAUGGGCGGUGGAACUAAGUGAAUUUGACCUUAUAUUCAAAGCCAGGGCAGCCAUCAAAGGGCAAGCUUUAGCUGACUUUGUUGCUGAAUUCGCCAACCUACUCGAGGUGGAUGAAAUCAUGAAAUCCGUCGAACCCCCCACGUGGAGCCUCUUCGUCGAUGGCUCAGCUGGAAAGGUCGGCUCAAGUGCCGGGGUUGUCCUCAUCAGCCCCGAGGGUCACAAACUCACCUCGGCCGUGAGGUUCGGAUUCAAAGCCACCAACAAUGUUGCAGAGUAUGAAGCACUCCUUGCAGGCCUCAGACUGGCCAAGGAAAUGCAAGUAAAGAAGCUACUCGUCAGUAGUGACUCCUAGCUAGUUGUUAGCCAAGUCAAUGGUAACUUCUCAGCCAAAGACAAAACGAUGGCCUCCUAUCUGAAAAUGGUGAUAAACCUCAUCCCAUCCUUUGAGAAGUUCGAGUUAACCCAAAUUCCCUGCAUCGAAAACGCUCAUGCGGAUGCACUCUCGAAGCUAGCUAGUAGCAAAGACUCGGAGCUACUCACUGUAGUGCCUAUCGAGCACCUCCUCCUGCCUUCUACUGAGGACCCUAAUGUCAUGUGGGUCGUUGGAACUCCCACCUCGAUGCAACCAAUCAUAGCAUAUCUGAAAGACCAGGCGCUGCCCACCAACAAGAAUGACGCUUAUAAGCUGAGAAGGAGGUCAGCCCACUUCCUCUUCAUUGAUGAUAUUCUCUACAAGAGAAGCUUCUCCUCUCCACUCUUACGAUGCGUCGGGGGAGAAGAGGCUACCUACGUACUAAGAGAAGUCCACGAGGGAGUGUGCGGCAACCACUCUGGAGGCCUAUCUCUGGCACAAAAAAUACUGAGGCAAGGGUACUACUGGCCUACCCUGAAACGGGAUGCCCUCAAAUUUGUGCGAAAAUGUGAUAAGUGCCAACGAUUCUCUCCCGUACAAAGACGACCAUCACAGGAUUUGACUGCAGUCUCCAGCCUCUGGCCCUUCUUGAAAUGGGGUAUGGACCUCAUAGGCCCCCUACCUAAGGGUAGAGGAUGUGCAAGUUUUGCAAUAGUGGCCAUUGAUUACUUCACAAAGUGGGUCGAGGCUGAACUACUGGCAAAAAUCACAGAAGCAAACACCUCCAAGUUCCUAUGGAAGAAUAUUAUUUGCCGGUUCGGAAUUCCAUACUCGAUCAUCUCAGACAAUGGCAAGCAAUUCGAUAACAAGAAGGUUAGAGAACUGUGUGAAGAUCUUGGCAUAAAGAAGCACUUCUCUACACCUCACCACCCACAAGCUAAUGGCCAAGUUGAAGCCGUAAACAAGACAAUCAAGCACGUCCUGAAAAGGAAGCUUGAUGUAUCCAAGGGAGCUCGGGUUGAUGAGCUGUCCCAAGUACUUUGGACAAUCCGAACCACCACCAGGACCCCAACUGGAGAGACCUCUUUUCUCAUGGCUUUUGGGACUGAGGCGAUGAGCCCCGUGGAGGUCGGACUCCUAUCUCCAUGGCGUCUGCACUUCAGCGAAGUGACCAACGACGAGCUUCGGAAGCUCGACCUCGAUUUCAUUGAGGAAAGAAGGGGUGACUCCCAGCUGAGGCUAGGCACCUAUCAAAGAAAGAUGACAAGGUACUUCAACUCCAAAGUCAAGAAGAAGUCGUUCCGAAUCAACGACCUUGUGCUCAGGAGGGUCUUCCCAUCUUCAAAAGAACCUGGUUCCGGCUCCCUGGGGCCGAACUGGGAAGGUCUAUACAAGAUCAAAGAAGAAAUCUGACCUAGAAUCUACUGGAUUGAAGACAUGGAUGGCAAGGCACAACCCCGUCCAUGGAAUAUUGAACACCUCAGAAUCUUUUAUCAAUGAAUUGUAUCAUGCUGGAUGACUUUCCCAGCCUUUGUAAUAUUUCUAUGGCUCAAUAAAAUGCAUUGAUUAAAUCGUGUCAUACUGCGUCGUCGCCUCGGAGGAGAGGCUUGAGACCCACAUGCGGGCCACCUCGCUUGAACUCCGAGGCGCUAGCACAUGCCUCCCUUUGGCCUUGCUGAACACCAAGGAGAGAAGCCUCAACAUGGCUGCACCAUCCAUCAUGUUUGGGAUGCGUCGUCACCUCGGAGGAGAGGCUCAGGACCCACCUCUGGGCCACCUCGCUUGAACUCCAAGGCGCUAGCACAUGCCUCCCCUUGGCCUUGCUGAACGCCAAGGAGAGAACCCUCAACAUGGCUGCACCAUCCACCAUGUCUGGGAUGCGUCGUCACCCCGGAGGCGAGGCUCGGGACCCACCUCUAGGCCACCUCGCUUGAAUUUCGAGGCGCUAGCACAUGCCUCCCUUUGCCCGUGCUGAACGCCAAGGGGAGAAGCCACAACUGCUACAGUCCGAGGCUCACACUGUUCAUCUCCUUAAGUUAUGUUAAUGUGCUUAAGUCCGAGGUUCGCACAGUUCAUUUCCUUAAGUUAUAUUAAUGUGCUUAAGUCUGAGGUUCGCACUGUUCAUCUCCUUAAGUUAUGAUAAUGUGCUUAAGUCCGAGGCUCACACGGUUCAUCUCCUUAAGUCAUGUUAUUUUGCUUAAGUCCGAGGUUCGUACAGUUCAGUCACUCAAGUUAUGUUCAUUUAUUUCAGUCUGAGGCUCACAAAGUUAUUUAGUUCAUGCUUCUAUCAAGUUCCAGUAAAUUUGUUUAACGAGGUAUAAAAACUUGGACAAAAAGCAACAAUGAAAGAAGAAAGACAUUAUAUUGAUAUUUCAAAGAAGGUUACAAAGGAGGGCCUCUGGUCAUUACAUCCAAAUUACUGAAAAAUAAAACCUAGUCUAUGCUUGGCUAGAUAACGGAGGCGCCUCGGCACUAGGGGCUUCGGCAACUUGGGCAUCAGUAGUUGUUUUCUCUGCUUCGGCACUUGGGGCUUCGGCAUCAACUUCUUCAUCACCCAGGACCUCCUCAGCUGGGGUCUGAGGUACCUCAUCCACAAAUUCGGACCUAAGUUGAGCCAGGUCCAAAUUGGGAUACAGCUCCUCUGCCCUCUCUAGCACUUCGGCAUAGGCGAAGUUCCUCCAGUACGAGCUGAAGCUUUUAUACUCCUCUGUAGUGUGGAAAUUGGCGAUGUAUUCCUUCACCGCCUCUUCCCUUGCAGUUCGGGCCUCUUCUCUGGCAACCGAGGCGUCGUUCAUGUACCACUUCGCAUGGCCUUCGAGAAACUGAUAGGCAUCUCGAGCACCGGCCAAGGAGAGAUUCGCCUUCUCAAAAGCCUCAGCAGUCACCUUUUGGUGCUCAUUGGAGACCUCUACCUUCUUUGUCAAGGAGGCCACUCGCACUGUGACUUAUACACUUCCUUCUUUAGGACCUCAAUUUGGGCCAAAGUAGACUCAAGCUUCGCCGCCUCUUCAACUCUCUGGGCUUUGGCUUCUUCGGCCUCGGCCUUAGCAGCUUUAACUUCCCCUGCAAGGGAGGCAGCCUUCCCCUCCGAGGCGUGGGUCCUUGUCUGGAAUUCGCUCAAGAUCUCCCUGCAUUCGAGCGCGAGGCCAAAGGUCCGGGCGCUUUGGCUCACCAAUGCCCUUGUCAAUUCGGUGGCAUCACAAGACGAGGCAUGCAGCUGCCACCUCUCUGUCCAGAACUUGUAAAAGCUCUCGGUGGCACUUCUGAUUUCCUCAGGGAGAGCCUCCACCAAGGCUGGGGCCAGCUCCUCCUCCCUCCUAGAUAGGAAGUUUGGAGACUUCCCCUUCUCCCGAAUCAGCUUCUCCUUUGCUGCCUCCUUUUUGGCGACUUCUGCUGCUCGCCUUGCGGCCUCUACUCUAGCCUCUUCAGCCUCUACCUCUCUUACCAUCUCCAUUUUGAUGGCUUUGGAGGCUGCAGCAAGAAGUUUCGGCUCUCCAGUCUGUUUGGCCCUAUGGGACACUGAGGUCCCAAACUUGCAGCUGAGCUGGACAUGUGUACCAGCUUCCUCUUCUUAGUUUCCUCAGGGACUUUCUCCUUGCCCCGAGGCUCCUUAGGCUUCUCUGGCCUCUGAAUAGUUGCCUCCUCCGAAGCCCUGGGAGUACAGUCCUUGGACAGGCGCUCAACCCUGCCUCGGACUUCCUUUGCCCCGUUGGACCCAGGCGUCAGGGGCCUCGCCUUCACAGUAGACGUGGCCUUCAAGAUAGAGGCCAUGUCCGGGGCUGGGUACUCCCUCUUCUUGAAUUUAUCUGCACAAUAGGUCAGAUCAUCAUCAGUAUAAAAAACAAUAAGGAUAAAAACAAGGGAUAAAGUGUUGGGGCCUCAUACCUCUAGAUGCCAUCAGCUCGAAGUCCAAAAAGUAUCUGCUCUUAUCAAUUAGGUGAUCGAAGUGGCGAAGCUUCAGAGGCCUCUUGUAAAUGUCCUCUAUCACCUCGAAUUCCUCCCUGCUGAGCUCGAACCUCGUACUACUAUCUGCAAAGGAACCCCCAACAGUUAGACGAAUUCAUAUUCUGACUUCAAAAGACAAGCAGAGGUCGGGAGACUCACGAGCUUCGUAGUACUGGGUCGGCACUGUGCAUGCCAGCGCUUUGUCACCCUCCACUGCCUGCCAUUUACCUCGCACCCAUAACUAGGACUCCUUCCACCCCUUGAUAGAGGAAGGAAGUCCCAUCGCAAAGGACGCGUGAGCCCCCCAAGGCGUGAGGUAGUACCACCCCCUUGACUCCUUCCCAAUUACCCGGGGCUGGAACAGGGUCAUGAACACAUGAAGAGGCAUGUCCUCCCCAAGUGACACUUCCUUCCACAGGAAGUACGAGCCGACCAGCUGGCUCCACCCAUUCGGCAGAACCUGGGUCAGUGACAGCAUGAAUUUCCUAAGCACCACCCUAAAGAAGGGGUGCAGAGGAAGACGCAUACCUGCCUUGAACAGGUAUUCACUCACGGCCACGCAGCCGGGCCUCGGAUAGCAGGCCCGCUCGUUCGGCUCGGGGACUAACAUUUCUAUGUAGUGGGGUACACUGUACCUCUCCCUAAGUUCCCCCAACCUCUUCCUCGUCAUAUUCGAGAGCACUCUAGAAGCCCCCCACUCCUGGGUAUAAUCUACAGGCUCCUCGGCCAUGGCAUACCUAUCCACCUUGGACAUCCCCCCAUGAACGACCCCAUAGUCUAAAGACGCCACUGUAACAAGCUCCCUACCCGAAGUGGACUCCAUUUUGUCAGUAAAAAGACAGUAACAAGGGUUUUUUAUACAAACAAUACCUAAGGGAAUUCGACACAAACGGAGACUGGCCGAAAUUCAAUAUCACAGUCAACCUCGACGCGGGAAAAAUUGGAGAUUUGAGAGAGUUUCAGAGUGCAAAGUGUUCAAAAAUCCUGAAAAUUGGGAUUUUCUCGCCUUUUAUAAAGGUCCAAGACGAACCCCAGCCGUCAGAUCAAGUCUCAGUCAAUCCAAGCCCUCCAUUUCAGAUCCAAUCCGAAGCGUUGAAUUCAAACGGUUUUUAAAUCCUAUGCUUCAGAUUUAUACGUGCCUCCCAUGAACCUCUCCAAUGCGUCUGCUUCUAGAAGUGCCAGCUGCCCUCAUAAUUACAUUUUUAAUUCGACGGCAGCAGCGCCUUGGAAGUCGUAACGGUUUAGCCACCUUUCCUAAAAAACAAGCACAAAACAUCAAAUCAUUGGCACAGCAGCCAACGCACAAUCAUUACCAUUGGACCUCGGCAAGCCUCGAAGGUUCGGUUCCUGAAUCACCUCAGCUUCUCUCCUCGCCAUUCAGCAAUCAAGCCUCGCAGGUUCGGUUCCUCAACCACCUCGGCUUCCUCUCCGCCAUUCAGCAUCAAAGCCUCGCAGGUUCGAUUCCUGAACCACCUCGGCUUCUCUCCUCGCCAUUCAGCAAUCAAGCCUCGCAGGUUCGGUUCCUCAACCACCUCGGCUUAUCUUCACCAUUCAGCAUCAAAGCCUCGCAGGUUUGGUUCCUGAACCACCUCGGCCUCUUUCCUCACCAUUCAGCAUCAAAGCCUCGCAGGUUCGGCCUCUCAACCACCUCGGCUCGUCUUCGGAAAUAAAACACCUCGCCUACUCCAUCGCUCAUCCACAGCAGCACUUCUCAAACCCCAACCAUGAUAUAAAUAUCUAUAUUUGGAUUUGGGGGACUAUUAUUUGGGGUUCAAAAAUUCUUUCAACUUUUACUCCAUUAAAGUCCACGUAUUACAUUAAUGAUUAUACCUGGACUUGGGGGACUAUUGUUGCGUAUUGUCACACCUGUCCUACCCACCUGGGCCAAUGGCCCACUCAUCCUGAUCCACGUGGCAUUCCCGCCGAGGUGGCACACAUUGCCGAGGUGGGUUAUAUCUAAAGUGCUUCAAGCCGAGGUCCAUCCGCCGAGGCUCCACGAUCCGACGUACUCUGCCGAAGUCCAACUACCGAGCCCCAUGACCCAAAGCAUGGAACCUGUUGAAUUUAGCUGAGGUCCUUAGGUGGAAGUAUUUGUCAAAUGGUCGAAACCCCGAAGCUGAUACACGAGUCUCUUAACCACAAGGAGCUUCCUCCAUAGUCACUCCUCCCAAGAGAUCGUCUGCUCAGAGAUAUUAUUCGAAUGAUUGAUGAAACGUUUGUCACAAGCAUAAAGGUCAAGUUUUGUCACUAGUAUGGAGGACCUGCGCAAGCAAUAAAUGCGCCGUAAGCUAGCAAGUCAAGCCCCAUACCUAAGAAAAGACGUUUGAACUAAAGAGAUGACGCCACGUGCCACUUCAUCCAAGGGCUCCCAUUUCAUGUGUGUCACUAUAAAUACUUCCAUUGUGUAAUGUCAAAGGCUAAUGCAAGAAUCAAUACUAAAGACUAUAUUUACUCAACUCUCUCUCAGUUACUUGCAAUACACAAAUCGAGUUUAUACACUUUUACAUAUACAUUUACGAGCACCGGUUGGUAAUUAUUGUACAAUCGGAUUACGAACUACCCGCCGGAUUCCGAACGUCACCGUCCCGCGUCGUUGGGCUACUCCCACGCCCCUUUAAACCGCUCGUUUUAGACCAUCCACGUGUCUUAGCGUGUUGGACAUUCGCCCACGCAAGCGCGGGUGGGACCGGCAUCUGUUGGCGCACUUUUUGGAGUCAACAAAUAUUAUCUUUAACAUGAUUAUAAGUUGGCAAGUGGACUAUUUCUAGGCCAGUGCUGACAAUUGGCUCUGUCGUAUAAUUGAAAUAAUUGAUGUUUAGACCCAAUAAAAUCUAUUGGGAGUGAAUAGGUGCAUAAUGUGAAUUUAAAAAUAAUAAAUAAUAAUAAGCAACAAGUCACAAAUUAUUGUUUCUAAAUGAUUUAGUUAAAUCCAAUUAAACUAUAAUCAUCAAUCAUGAGAUAUAUAGCAAAGAACAAAAGUAAAUCAACACCAAAUAAGAUAAUAAACGAAAACCCUUAGAAGGAUUCUCCACAGGGAUUCUCAAAAAAAUAAAAAUAAAUAAAUAAAUAAAAACAAAUCUUGUCAAACGAUCCACUAGAAAAGAUAACCUACAGUUGGUUCGAAUACAACUUAACCUUAUUAAAGUCGAACCACUCAAUCUGUAAAUCACAGAAAAAUCUUCAAUUGUCUCUCAUGCACUUUUCAAAAGCUCUGGAUUUCUUUUCCCUUCGUGUUGAUCACCAAGAACGAAUAGGGCUGUCAAUGGAUCGGAUAUGGAACAGAUCUGUCCAAAUUCGAUCCGAUCCGUUAAGAAAAAUUAUCCAAUCCAAUAAUCCAACGGGUAUUUAAUUGUUAAAUCCAUAUCCAAUUUGCUAUAUUAUCGGAUAUCCGAUCCGAAUUUUUUGCCAACAAUUUUUUCCAAAUUUUUUUUUUUUUUAAACUAUCUUGAUGGGCUCACCUAAUAUACUAGAAGGCCAAAAUCAAUUUUUUUAUCCAAGUGAUGCUCUUUUAGUUCUUUUUAAAGAAGAUUUCUCUUGGAAUAUUUUAAUAAUCUUCCUAUGUAGGAUACUACAUUUUUAAAGGGUACUUCUCUUCUAAUGUUUUAGUGGUCUUUCAAUGUGGGAUACUACUCAAUUGUCAAUUCUAAGUGUUUACUAGUUUAUUUUAUUAUUUUCACUAAAAAUCAUAGCCUUAACAAAAUUAAAAUAAAAAACAAUAUCAAUUUUAACAAAGUAAAUUAUUUUUGGACAUAUUAAUUAUUAGUUUUUGAUGUUAUAAAACAAAUUACUGUAGUUAUUUUUAUCUUAUUUUAAUUAAUAAAAAAUUAAACCUCUUUGAAUAUUUCAACUAAAAAUAUUAUACUAUUAUCUAAUAUUAUUUAUUAUUUGAAAAUUAUGCGUAAAGCAUAAUAUAAGUUUCAAAAUGGAAAAAAUUAUGUUUAAUAAAUUAUGAUAUAAUAUAUAAAAUAUAUAAUAUUAUUAUAAUAAAUCGGAUCGGAUCGACAUAUAUCCAUAUUUGCUCCAUUUAGUUAACGGAUUAUCGAAUACGGAUCUUAAUCGGAUUGAAACCUUAAAUCCAUCUCCCGUUAAUUUCAUCGGAUUCGAAUCGGAUUCGAAUCAAAAUCCAAUCCAUUGACAACCCUAAGAACGAACCUCGUUCUUCUCCAACGGGAACUCCAACUGCCUCUCCCAAACUUUACUAUGAAGGAUUAUUUGGUAAAAGAUUUGAUUUUUGGUAUUUAGUAAUUGGAUCUUUUGUGUUUUGAUCUUAAGGUUGAGAUAAGAAAUUUAUAGAAUAUGUAUUUUAUUUCUGUAGGAUUUCUCUUGAUUGAAAUAAAGGCUCAACUAAUUUUCAAAAAUGUUUUGGACAAACUAUGGCCUAGGAUAUAUAUAUAUAUAAUAUGUAGUGUUCGGGUUGUUUGGGACUCUAAAUUCUGUUGAAAAUCGCAAACUAGGGUUGCCAAAUAAUACGUAUGCUCAAGGGGUCACAUGUUCACUCGAGCAGUGGUUAGGCGUGAAGCGACUGGUUUUGCUGCGAUUUUUUUCAUUCCGUCUUUGACGCCUUCAAACAAACUCCCAACCUUCAACUUUUUAACUUUAAUUACAACUCAAUAAACUAUGAUUUUAGGCACAGAACUACCCAAUACAAUUUGGACCUAACAAACUUUAAUUAAUUUGGUGGCAUCCCACUAAUUAUCAAAUGAAUUGUUAAAGAAUGGUAUUUUAAAUGAAUUAUGAUCAACAAUUCUUUACCAGAUGAUGAGAUCUUGCCGGUCUCAUCUAAAUCUGAUAGAAAAUGAGUUCAGAAGCGCGAUAUAGAGAGGGGGAGUGAUGUGUACCCGUCAGCGUUAGCAGCGCAGUCUGGCAAGAAUUGAGAGCAGUCAGGACCUUCAUAGCAAGUGUUGCAUUCACAAACUGGUUUCUCUUCAACAAUUAAACCAUCCAAAUAUGCCCUUCCAUGGCCAGAGCAUGAGACUGAGGCCACUGCUUCAGCUUCUGCAGCAGCCCUUUGGCUCCAGCUCAACUGCUUAUUCUCAUAAACAGCAAAAAGAUAGUUGAUUACAAAGAAGAUAUUAAGAGCAAUUGAGCCUACAAAACAUACAACAUACAAGAAGCCUUUGACCUUCGCCAUGUAUUAUUGGAAUAAAAUUUGUUCUUAAUUUGUAUUUACUCAGACACAUGACAUGCCACUUGUCUGCAAUGACUAAAAUAUAUUGGGUUAUGGAAUAAAUUUAUGUAGAGUGGACUUGUAUUUUAUUCUGAAAAAUAAGGAAAUUUGUACUUUAUUCCCCAACUUUUACAAUCAGUCACUAAUACACCCUUAACAUUUUUUUGACCCUUAGAUGUUCCUAACUUUCACUUAAUUGCAAAUCACGUCUCUAUUCACAGAAUCGUUGAGAAAUUGUCGUUAACUCACCUACAUACAUCCCACGCAUUUUUUCACUUCUUCCACCGCAUCCGAGAUCGAAAGGGGCAAAUGGUACAUCCACAAAAAGCUUCCUUUCAAAUUUGAAAACCCAACUUUUCAUAUGCAUAUUAGCAUCAGACACCAAACCCUCUUUUAUAUUCAAUAAUCAAAGGGAAAAACUUUUAUUAAAAUUUUAAUUAGGCCACUAAAUUUUGAUUUAUCCCAAUUGAGUUACUAAACUUAUUUUUUUCCCAAAUGAAUCACUGAUUGAGUCUUACUUUGUCACAUUUAGUCUCAUAUUGUCUUCCAAACGGAAGAAAAUUACUUACUGAAAAUCAUACCAAGCCUUAAGUAAUCCCUAUUUGAUAUCUUGAAAAUGAAAAACAAGAGUUAUUGCAAUAUGUUUAGAUUAAAAGGUUCUAUAAUGAGUUUUUUAAAUUUAAAUUUUUUUUACGUGCUGUAGUUGUAGUUGGCAUGUAACACGUUGAUUUUAUUAAGAUACAUUGUGAUAUGAUUGUUAAUUAAUUAAUUUUCUUCACUUGGAGGGUCGGUAAUUGAGUGAUAAAAUCUAAAACAAAAUUGAAGUUUAAUGAUCCAAUUGAAACUAAAUAGAAGUCUUGUGACUUUAUUGAGACAAUCUAAACUCAGAUCCAAUUGAGACGAGUAAAAGUUUAAUAAUUGAAUUGAAAUUUCCCGAAAAGUUCUACGACCUCAAAUGAAACUUGCCCACAUUGAAAAUAAUUCGUAGGGUUAGUUUCACUUUUAAUCAAUGGACUAUUAGUAAAAUCUCAAUUUGGUGACAAUUUCACUUUAGUUUCAAUAUUAGUCUCUUUGCGCUCUUAUUAAUGUCUCAAUCUUAUUUUGAUAUUAGAAAUUGACCACAAUGUGACAUGUCUUUAUGUUUCCAAUAAAUAUGUUGUCCAAUUAUGUUGUGGUUCUAAAACUUGAGAAUAAAUCGUAUUUAAAAAUUGACAACAAUUCAAUUCGGAGCAUACAUACAGUUUUAUUCAUACGAAAUUUAAAGAUUUUGCCUCCAUAACAUGAUUGAAUAGACAGAAUGUCUGUUUACCUAAAUAUGCUACUAGUGGAGGAUUGAAACGUUAAAUUUAGUAAAGGGAUUAACGAAGUGAUUAAUAAAUUAAAGUUUAGUAGUCUGAUUGUGACAAAUUAAAAUUAAGCAACCUAUUUGAGAUUUUACAGAAAGUUCAGUGGCAAAAUGGAAAAAUUCUAGUACCCUUGUUAUCUUGGAGCAGUGGCAGCAAUAAUAUCUUUACUAUUAUUUUGGACAAUAGAAAUAUCUUACCUAUUUUAGUUAUGUAGGAAAAAAAUGGUAAUAGAAUAAAUGGAAAUAGAUACCUAAAAAGGAAAAAGGCAAGUGUACAAGCUUUUUCCUUACAAGUUCUUUACAAGUGGGAUAGGGAUGGGAGAAGAGGAAAAAAUCGAAAAUUUCACAUAGUACUUUUGAUUGAAAGAUUAACCAGAUUGAUUUUGUACCCUUCGUUCAAUAAGAAAAAGGGUCAAUAAAUAGUUAAAGUUGAUUGUUCUUAUUUAAUAAUGGCAACGCUUGAUUGGUUUUGUUUUGUUUUUUUGGUUUCUUGUUUUUUUUUUACGAACCACGAAUAAGGACUUCAGUUACAACUAACUUCAUCUUAAAAGAUCAAUAUAUUAAGAGGAAUAAUUCAAACCUUAAUAUACUUAUUUGUACUUCGAUUUUUAACCAGCAUAUGAUUCAUCCCUUAACAUAUAUUAGCUCUUUCUCAUCUCUUGGUUUAUUAGUUAGAUUGUUUGCAUCGGAUGUGCUCUAAGCCUUUGUGCAAGAGAUCUAAGAAACCAAGGACAAGGAAGAAAAGAGUUCACCUAGGUACUAGACUCUUGGCCUAACUUUCAACAAACUCCCACUAUGGGUCACCAAGGACUUAGCCCCGGUUUUGUAUCCCUUUUUUAAAAAUUAAUUUUUCCUUAAAUUCAGUUUCAACCACAUUUUAUGAGGUUCACAACUUUUCAAUCGUAAACUUCAUAAUUAAAAAUUUAAUUUUUCUCUAAAUCAAAUAGGGCUUAAAGUGAUUAGGGCACAUUUGGCCUAGUUGAAAUGCCAAAUAAAUAAGUCAAAAAAAGUGUCUUUUUUAUUAGUAUGAUUCUAGAUGAAGUCGAAAAAUAUAAGAAGCUAAGUCUGGUCAAAUAUGUUAUAAUUAUGAUCUUAAUCCAAGUUGGCAACACGAAAGAAUCAAGCUGGACGUAUGGAAAUGCUCCGUAGAGUUUCUAGCAAAUCUAAGCAUUUAAUUAAAUUUUCUUUUAACAUAUGGAUUUUUAUAACAUCCAUAUAAUGUAAACUACAAUUCAAAAUAAAUAUUUUCUACGCUUUUUGAGAAAGAAAAAAAUGCAUUAGUUCAUUAAUCAAUUUGUCUCCUCUCUUAGCCUUUUGGUCCUUGUUUGGCUACAUUAAAAUGUGUUUUAGAAUAGUGAUUUUUGGAGAAUGUGUAGUUAAAAAAGAAAGAAAAGUUUUAAAUUUACUGAAAAAUAUGUGAAUGAAAAAAAGAAAGAAGAAAAUAUAUUCAAAUUAAAAUGAAACCCAAACGGGGGCUAUAUCACAUUGUACGACAACUUUGUUACACUACUCUUCCUUCUGUUCUAAAUAUUAAAAUAUUGAAAUUUGUUCAUGAAAUUUUUAUAUGUACAUGAAAAUUAGGGAAAAAAUGGCAAUUUUAUUUGUAAAUAUUUUAGACUAUCAAAUUUGUUUAAAUCUAGUGGUAGAAUAGCACCCUGCCAUGGUACAGACUCGGGUUCGAUUCCCGGCUGGUGCAACGAUUUUUUUCACAAUUUUAAAAAUUGUAUAGAAUUAAAAAGCGAAAAUCUCUAUGCAAUUUUACAAAAAAUGGCAUCAUGUUUAGUAUUUAUUAUUUACGCACAAUUUUGAUCAAGAGAUCAUUCGUGUAAAAUUUUAGUUGUAUUUUCCCUUACUAAAAUUCGUAAUAUUAGUUUUUACAUUUAACGACUAAAGCAUUUAUAAUAAUUAAGUAUUAAUCAAAUAAACAAUCUUAUUGUUUUUGUCAUUGUCCUGGUAUUCUUUUCUAUCCAUCACCGCUUUUCGAUUGCCCAUCACUUUUUGUCCUCGACUUUCUUUUUUCCUAUCUUCUGAUGUUCCUCGCGUGUUAUACUUUUUUGCUCUUACAUUAUGUACAGUGUGUUCACUAUCAUCGUCCCUCCAUACUAAAUUUAAUUUAAAUUCUUGCCAUUGAUGUUGUUUCACCAAAAUGACAAUCUCUUCGUGGAUGUUUGAAAUUGCUCUGUGAUUACAAGUAUUUUUGAACCUUUUGUGUUGAGUACUUAGCAUUUUUGGCUUCUCAUUUUCUUUGGGAGAAGCUAAAAACUUCUUAUAAAAUAAAGGUCGAUUCCUCAAUCGUGUUAAAAAAAGAUCGGUGAGAUGGUUGAUUUGACUCGGGGAAUAUCACUGAGUCACCCAAGAAUAACUCAUUUGACUCAAGCAGGCAUAUUAGACUUUAGUUUGAAAAAGAUAAAUUUGAUGCUUGAAACAUAUUUAACACUCGUCUUAUAACUCUCCAAAUUUUAUUGUUUUAUGGAAAUUUGCAGGUGCAGUCCUCAAACUUUAAAACCUGAAGCACAUUAGUCCCCACUUAAUUUAAAUAUUUUUUCCUUCAAAGCCCAAACGUUCAAUUUAGAUGCAAGCUGGACCCUGCUCAAUCAAAAUUGUUAAAUGUUAACCUGAUCUUCACCUGUUCACUUAUAACAUGGGUAUUUUGAUCACCUUAUUGGAUUCAUAAGAAAAUAGAGAGUAAAAGGACAAAAUACAAUAGCUUCAUCGAUUUUGGAGUCAAUAGUUUCACAAGGUACAAUAGAAUAUAUUUUAACUACACUAACAUGGCUGCUUUCAUCAGAGAAUUGGUGAGUACUAACUGCUGCAUUCUCAUGUGAUUUUGACGAAUUAACUUCAUCUUCCUUUUUUAUUUAGAUUCGUAUUACCAAUAGUUUCUUCAAGAUACUUCGCUCUACUUUUAACAUACUUACCUUUAGAGUAUUGGUAUUCCCAUUUUGGUGGUGGAUAUUUCUUCUUUAGUUUCCGGCAUUUGUCCAGGAAAAAUAUUUAAUGAGGAUAAAUAUUAGUAGAUGUCAAUAAAAUGGAUAGAUAUAUAAAAAUGGUGACUAAAAUUGCCACUCCCAAAGAAAAAUGAUUUUUCAGCUAAGUUUAUGAAAUAAUUACAUUUGACAUUUUUAAAUAAGUUUAAAAUAUGGAAAUUAUGUGUAACUUUUUAAUAAAGCAAUAGGGUAAAGAACCUGCUAUAUCCCCCCACCUAUCACAGGGGGCCAAUGGGGGUUAAGGUGGUGCCAACACCUCGGCCAAUCAACAGGACCUAUCAUAGGCCCUAUUUGAAUGGGCCCCCUAGUAUUACCAGGCCAUAAUGCCAAGGCCUAUGUGGCCCUAGUAAUGGAGUUUUAUCCAUGAGUUUUGCCAUUCAAAUAGGGCCUAUGAUAGGUCCUGUUGAUUGGCCGAGGUGUUGGCACCACCUUGACCCUUGAUUGUUGGUCGAGAUCGCAAGUUGAGAUGUUGUUAUUUUGACACUGGAUUUAAACCCGAGUUUUGUAGCAGGCUUCUUUAUCCAUAGGGUAAAUUGUACGAAGGGUUCCACACCUUUAGAAUUAAAAUAUGAUUUUAUUUUAGGUUUAGACAAAGUGACAAACAUGUUCUUACUAAAAUAUAUGUCAAUGGCCAGCUUAGUAACACAGAUUACAUAGUACAAAAUAAGUAAACUAGUUACCUUUUUCAAAAAUAAUUCUUAUUUUACUAUCUAAAUAACUUAUUUGUCAAUAAAAAUAUCUAUUUUAAAUUUACUUUAAGUUACUUUUCAAGAUUACCCUGUCGUGGGUAGAGGUAGAAUGAAGCUAAAUGCUCGUUUUGUUUAUGUUUCAGUUUUCAAUUUUGAGUUUUGAAUUUAUUUUGAGUUUUUUGUUUCUAUAGGCUGUUUUAAGAUUGCUAAAAAUACGUUUGGUAUGUCAUUUUGUAAAAUUAUUUCUCAAAAUAGAAAAUUAGAAAACAUGUUUCAUUUGAAAUUUUGAAUUUUAUAACAUUUUAUUCAUUAAAAUUUAAUUAUUCAAUAAAAAUAGAAUAAUCAUAUGUUAAUAUUUUAUUAAGUAAUAUAUACAUUUUAAAGUUGGUGAAUUUUACAAUAUUUUUUCUUGACUUUUUAUGCAAAUACCAUUAAUAUCUUGAACUAUUUUUUUUUUAAUUUUUUUGAGAAUUUUUAUAAUUUUAUUUUGCUAAAAUUUUUAUUUUUUAUUUUAUAAAUUUUAUUUUUUUUUAGAAUUUAUCGAUUUUAUUUUUUUAACAUUUUUAAAUUUUAUUGUUAGAAUUUGUGUUUUUAUUUUGUAAAAUUUUCAAUUUUUAAAAUUUAUUUAAUAAAAUUUUAUUUAAAUUUUUAUUUUUCAUAUUUUGCUAGGCACACUCAAAAUGUUAAAAAUGUAUUUUCAAAAAUAUCAUACCAAAUAUGUUUUUAGUAUUUUGCAAAAUUCAAAACUAAGAAUAGCUUGAGAAUAACAAACCAAACGCAUCUUAAGCUUCUUGUUUCAAAGCACAAGCCAAUUUCGAUUUCAUAUAAUUAUGUUUAGCUGAAGUAAUUAGAAAGCAUAGCUUCUCAUAUUUGGUUUUUGAAACUUUCAUUUCUUGCAUUUUUUAGACAUUUGGCAAGCUAAUUAUGUGUUUUGAUAUGGUUGAAUAUGUUGAAGAUCAUAUUUAAAUGAAUAUAUAUAACUUUUCGUCCUUGUCCACAUGUUGAAGUACUAACUACCGUGAACUUGAACAAAGCGAACAAGCAUGAAAAUAAGCUCAUUCACUGUUACACCCAUCCCGUUGCACCAUGCCCAAAUCCUCUUUCGCCAUAGUUUCCAUUGCUUGCAAACCAAAAUUGCAAUCUGUACGUGGCGCAGUGUUUCAUGCAUCCUGCUUUGGUAUCAUUUGUUGCAAAUCACCUAUGGGAGAGUAUUAGAUGGUAGUAGAGCCACAUAAAAGGCUUGGGGUUCCAUCUUGCUGCCAAUAAAAAUUGUGCACCCUUAAGAUGAUUGAUCAAAAAGUGAAUCUUGUUGCAAUUAACCAAGCUUGUUGAAGACAAAAAUGUAAAUAGUUAACAAGAAGUCUUGGGAUAUUUGUUUUGUAUAUAACCGAGGUUUAACUUUCUCUUUGAUGUCUUGGGGCACGACAUAAUAGUACAAGAGGAAACUAAAUGUUAUGUGACAUGAAGUGCUAUAUGGGAUAAGUGUACUUUAUACACUUGUUCGGGGCUUUAAAUAUAUAUAUUUCAAAAUUUUUUGAUAAAUUAUGGCCAAAUUUAUUGUGUAUUUUGGAAGAUAAAAUGAAAGAAAGAAGUAAAAAUUAGCAAAAAAUGACAAAAUACAAAGUAUGGGGACUAAAUUACAACAUUCUAAUGGUUGAUUCGGACCACAAAAUGAAGAUUGAAAAUUUUUAUGGGUUCAAAUUUAAUGCAAGAAGGGGCAAAAUAGAACUAAUUCAAAGUGAAAUGUACAAAAUCAAGAAAAUAAUGAAGAUGAGGACCAAAAUGUAAAAAUUGGGAAAUAGCGUUAUAACUGAGUGAAUAUGGAUGGGUCCUCUCGAAGACUAGCAUAAAAGCCAAUUAUCAACACAUAUUUAGGGGAGAAUUGAUUGAGAAGAACGUAAGAUCGAAUUCAAGAAAUUUAAAUAUCAAAUUCAAGAAUUUUGGGUGAUGAAUUAUCAUCAUCAUCAUCAUCCUGAGCAUGUUAGGCUUAACUAAUUUUGAGUUGGGAUUAUGAUGAAUCUUGUAUCAUAAAUUUUUAACUCUUGAUUUUAUUUAUUUUUGACAUUCAAAGCACGUUUUUAAUUUUGAAUAAUUGACAUGAGUUUAUGCUUCUCUUGUAUAAAUUUGGUACCUUAUUUUACCUUUGAAAGAUUGAUAAGGGAUAGAAAUAAGUUGGAUAUAGUGUCAAUUAUCGUAGAGUUUAAUUGGAAUAGAAAUAUACUAUUAUACUUUACGUGAUUUUUAAGUAUUCAUAAAUCACAAAUGCAUUCUUAUAUAGUCGCAACUGUCAUAAAAAUAUAGUCAAAUCAGAUGUAAGAAUUAAUUUAAUUCUAAUUGAAUGAGGUUGUUAAAUAAUUUAGAAAUAUUGAUCUUCAUAAUCGAAUUAUGUUGUACUUGUUUAAUUUUAUUUUUAUAUUACACUAAAAUGAGUUGAAGAUUUUGCUAUAUUUAUUGUCUCAUUCUCUAUUGAUAUUAAAAGUGGGCAUAAUGAAAAUUUUAUGUAGCAAAGUAUAUAUAUUUGUUUUUCAUCUCUAUAUAUUAAUUAAUUUGAAAAUUAACUUGUUUUUCUAGUAUGUAUAUAUAUUUUUUAUUACAACUAGUUCAACCUAAGUUUUACACUAGUUUGACCUUUUGGCCCUUAACCCAUUUACAUUUUCAAGUCAAUGAUCGAGUCAAUUUUGAAAACAUUGUUAAAUAAAGCAAUUUUGUUAUACAUACAUUCAAAUUGACAUUCUGUUUUACAUUUUACCAUGUGGCACAUAAUUUUACCAUUGAUUUCUCCAACACUUAAAUAAUCAAUGACCUCGAUUUUGCCACCUAUUAAAUACGAUCCAAAUUGUACACAAAUGAUGUACAACUAACAUAAUUUUAAAUAAAGCUAGUUGUGGACAAAACUUGAGUAUGAGGAUUUCCUUGUGGGACUUAAUUUUUCCUCAACAUAAUGGUUUUCUUAUGGUGUCGAUAGCACCUGAAAAAAUGAGCGAAGUUCUUCGCUUCUCCAAUAAUGCCAAAGUCAGUAUUUGUAGAGAACAAGACGAACGAAUAAUAACACCAGUUUGCACUUGAAAGUUUACCUUAUAAGGUGGAAUUUUCUGGUCUUGUUGGACUUUUACUUCUUUCAGAUGUCUCAAGUAGAGCCCAAAAAAAUUAACCGGCAUCCUGUUUAGCUAAUCGCCUAGUGCAUCAUCAUCGCUACUUGCAUGCUUAGCCCAUGUUUGACAUCUAUUAUUUGAAAACUUUUUUUCUACACACUCAUUUUCAACAAUACAUUCACACAAAAAAAUAUUCUACACGUAAAUUCAAAACUUUUCUUUCAUUUCUAACCAUGCAUUAUCCUAAAAAUCAUUAUUCAAAACAUAGUUUUUCCCAAAUAAUGAUAGUCAAAAAGGGGCUUCAUUUCUAUAGAAGUUAUUUGUAUUCAAUUUAUCUGCAUCUAUGCAGUAAAAGAUCUGAACUUUCAAGAUAAAGAUCGUUUCAUGACACCUUACAACUUGCAACCAAUAUAGGGCAGUUCAAGAAAUUUACAGGUGCGGAUAUCAAAUACUGAAAUCUCCCCGGAUGUGUUUUAGCAUACAGAAGGUCAGUAUGCAUUGAACUUUCCAUCAAGAUAUGAUAAUUACAUUAUUUUAUUACUUGCACAAUGAUAAUAUGCUGAACAAUCAAUCAGAUAUUGAUCAUCAGCAACACAUUGUUUCUGUGCCAUUUUCCUUGGUAACAAGUUCUUUCAAACGAUAUAGCAGCAAGUUGAAGUCAUCAUCGCUCUUAAGAAGGCUGAGACGUACAUAGCGAUC